CUUACUGAAAGCUUUUAUCUAAAAACGUGUUCGCAUCUGUCAAUCAAUAUCUUUCCAUUUAUUUCAAAUCUAUCAUAAGCUACUUUAAUUUUUACAUGAAUCCGGAUAAUGUCAGUAAAUGGACUGAUGGCUCAAUCAGACCGAAGAACAUUCAAGUAAACACCUCCAUUGAACCAACGGAGCUUGAUCUAAAUGAAAUUUCGAUCGGAUUGGAAGCAUUGGACAAUCUAAAAUGAUGGAUGACCCCAUUUUAAACCUGCCAGAGUCAUAACAAACAACAAGACCUGGAGUAACAAGAUAAGUGGGCAUGGCUUAUGGUCAAAAGUAAACCCAAAAUCUGCAUUUUAAUCCCAGUUCAACUGCUUCUGUGUUUUACUAAUGAAAACAUUCAAAAUGUCACUGAAGGACUCCAAGCUGUAUGAUGUCAUGAAGAAACAUUUCCAAACGAACUGAGUGUUUAAGACUGAGGUGUGAAUUGGCAUAAAGACCUCAGGCCCAGAAGCUUUUAAGACCACCUAUAAAGAAGAAACUAUUGAAUGAUACAUCUCUGCUUGUAUUUCCCCAUGUUUACAAAGGAAGUCAUCCUCUUUUCAAACCAGAGAUAAUGCAUAAUUUAUGAGCACAUGAAUUAUGAAGUGCUGUUGAUAAGAAGACUCAGCUCAGUCUUCUGCGGUCCAUCUUCACAGGAUUCCUGUCUUUCUUACUGAUAUUAUCAAUUACAGUCAUUCUGGUAGAAGACAACAGCAUUUUUUUUUUUUUUGCAUGUUUCUGUUUAGUCAUUUUUUUUAAUUUGCAUAAUUUUACUUGUCAUUUAAUUUUACUUUCUUCUGUUUUCUGCAUAUUACCUGUACUGUAUUGUGAAGUUUAUUUAUGCAUUCUGCUUUUUACUGAAAAAAAAUCAUAGUUAAUCAUUCUAAUCAUUCUAAUAUGCAGAUUUACUACUCAAGCAACAUUUUGCACAACAAGCAGUAUAUAUAUAUAUAUAUAUAUAUAUAUAUAUAUAUAUA
ensembl:lncRNA